UCCGGUUUGGCACCGGCAGUCUCCCUAGAGUUCCCGGCAUGACCCGCUGGCAACUAAGGAUAGGGGUUGCGCUCGUUGCGCCACUUAAGGCAACACCUCACGGCACGAGCUGACGACAGCCAUGCACCACCUGUGCAGGCUCCGUAGAGCACCCGCUUUCACGGGUUUCACCCUGCAUGUCAAGCCCAGGUAAGGUGGGGAUGACGUAGAACGGUUGGUU
rnacentral:misc_RNA from 1 species